GUCAGGAUGGCCGAGCGGUCUAACGCGCCAGACUCAAGUUCUGGUCCGCGAUAGUGGGCGUGGGUUCGAAUCCCACUCCUGACA
rnacentral:tRNA from 1 species